rnacentral:rRNA from 1 species
AUCCUACGGGACGCAGCAGUGGGGAAUAUUGGGCAAUGGGCGCAAGCCUGACCCAGCAACGCCGCGUGAAGGAAGAAGGCUUUCGGGUUGUAAACUUCUUUUAUUGAGGACGAAACAAAUGACGGUACUCAAUGAAUAAGCCACGGCUAACUACGUGCCAGCAGCCGCGGUAAUACGUAGGUGGCAAGCGUUAUCCGGAUUUACUGGGUGUAAAGGGCAUGUAGGCGGGACUGCAAGUCAGAUGUUAAACCCAUGGG